UAUUUAGGCGUCCAUAACUAAAACCUUAUACGCCCUAAUCAAUAGCAUAUAUGGUAUUCAUUUGGACAAUAUUAAACUCAUGGUUAACUAUUCCUCUUAAGGUUAUCGUCUCAAAGAUAAAAUCCUUAAUAAAGUUAAAAAUCAACAAUAUAAAUAC